rnacentral:lncRNA from 1 species
UGUGGGGAAAAGUAGUUUGAUGAAUAAUGCCCUGUUGGUUGAAGAAAGAAGUACCAUCAAGACUAGACCCUACUUCAAAAGCAUUAUCACUUCUUAUAGUUUGGACAGUAGCAUUAAACUGAGUUUUAACCAUACAUAAAAAGGACUUAAUCAGGCUGAAAAUAUUGCUUUUAGACCCCAGUAGAUGUGUCUAGGUUGCUCUAGAAAAAUCAUCAACUAUAGUAAGAAAGUACCUUGAGCCAGAAGAGGUGAGUGUGUGAUAAGGACCCCAAGUAUCUACAUGAAUCAAUUGGAAAUGUCUACAUGUACUGAUUGAACUAUCGGGGAAAGGAAGUCUGGUUUACCUAGCCAUAGGACAAAUAGGACAAGGGAAUGGUUGUUUAGAAGCAAGGGAAAAUGACAAAGUAGGAAUGUGUUUCAUGUUUGUAAAAGGAAUAUGAGCCAGUCUUAAAUGCCAAAUCCGGGUCGGUGCCGGACUCCUUUGUGAACCAGUCCCUUUCCUUGUCUUCAAGAGUUCGGUUAGUUGAUCGGGAAAGCGGCAGGACCGUAAAGCUUAGCCUUGAGUUGGACUGCGGUCCUACGAAGCUGGUAUCCUCAUACCGCUUAAGAUACUUUCCGACUGUCGAAGGAAGUUCACUUUUAAACACGUUGAAACGUUAAUCCAGUAGCACGACGAACAAUUCCAGGAGCAACAGUCGUUGGAAGGAAAGGGAUGGGCCAAUCGGUACAGUUUUCGGUGUCAAGCAUAGCCUGAUAGCAAGCCAAGCAGCGGACAACAGAUGGUGCAGCGAGUUCGGCACGAAAUCAUAAAGGUUUGAGGACCUGUUGGUCAAAGGAAAGGGAAGGUCCUGCUUCCGGGACGGAGCCGUAUGACGUGAGAGUCUCAGUACGGUUCCUUUGAGAAGGGUGUGAUACCACCACUUAUCAGGCCCGACGAGCGGUCCACGGAGCUUCUUCUUCAUGUCAUUUGCAUCAGUAUUAUUACAAAUGGAACUAUUUACAUUUGAAGGCAAAGCAACAGUCUUAUGGCUAGAAGAACAGACAUGAUUAUAAGAAUCAGAAAGUGAACAUACAGAAGCAGAUGAGCAACAAUUAAAAGAAGAAUGUGAAGGUGGCACCCAUACAUGAUUACAAGAAUCAGAAAGUGAACAUACAAAAGUAGAUUAGCAACAAUUAAAAGAAGAAUGUGAAGGUGGCACCCAAGCAAACUUGUACUGACCAGCCUCCUCUUUACCA